UACGUAGGUGUCGAGCGUUAUUCGGAUUUACUGGGCGUAAAGCGCACCGAGGUGGCAUCUUAAGUCGGAUGUGAAAUCUCCUGGCUUAACUGGGAGACGCCAUUCGAGACUGAGGAGCUUGAGGUCAGCAGGGGAAAGUGGAAUUCCCGGUGUAGUGGUGGAAUGCGUAGAGAUCGGGAGGAACACCAGUGGCGAAAGCGACUUUCUGGGCUGCACCUGACACUCUAGUGCGAAAGCGUGGGGAGCAAAC
rnacentral:rRNA from 1 species